rnacentral:rRNA from 1 species
UACGUAGGGUGCAGGCGUUAAUCGGAAUUACUGGGCGUAAAGCGUGCGCAGGCGGUCUUUUAAGUCAGAUGUGAAAUCCCCGGGCUUAACCUGGGAACUGCGUUUGAAACUGGAAGGCUAGAGUGUGGCAGAGGGGGGUGGAAUUCCACGUGUAGCAGUGAAAUGCGUAGAUAUGUGGAGGAACACCGAUGGCGAAGGCAGCCCCCUGGGCUAACACUGACGCCUCAUGCACGAAAGCGUGGGGAGCGAACAGG